GAUGAACGCUGGCGGCGUGCCUAAUACAUGCAAGUCGAGCGAACAGACGCUGAGCUUGCUGCGCUCACGUUAGCCGCGGACGGGUGAGUAACAUGUGUAUCACCUCCCUAUCAUUCUGGUAACACUUCGGGAAUCCGGAUCUAAUACCGUAUAAUCUCUUGCUCCGCAGGGUUGGAUAGAGAGAGACGGUUUUGCGGUCACGUCUAGAUGGAUCCCCGCUGUUUGAGGUGGUUGGUAGGUUAACGGCUUACGAAGGCAACGAUGCGUAGCCGACGUGCCGGGGGGAUAGGCCGCACGGGAACGUGGACAGCGACCAGGCUACUACGGGAGGCACCAGUAGGGAAUCUGCCGCAAUAGGCGAAAGCCUGACGGAGCAACGCCGAGUGAGUGAUGAAGGUCUUCGGAUCGUAAAACUCUGUUAUGAGGGAAGAACAAAUGUGGAAGUAAAUAUAGAGGUCGUGACGGUACCUAAUCAGAAAGCCACGGCUAACUACGUG
rnacentral:rRNA from 1 species